rnacentral:lncRNA from 10 species
CAGUACAUUUUACAGACAAUAGCAGCUCUCGACCUACUCCUGACUGAAGUGCAGCCAUUUCCCUUACAAGAGCUGUGCCCUCUAACUGAAGCCCUGACUUCUCUGAGCUGCUCUUCCUACAACCAGAGCUUCCCCUGGGUUCUGGUUCAGCACAGCAUGCCUGCAGGUCCCUCCACGCUGCCCUGCUGUCCUCAACAGUCCCCUCAUCAACCCAGCACCCAGGUUGAGUGUGCCCUCUGUUUCCUGCUGGAACUCUUUCCAGUACAUCACUUUCAUGCCAAGCUAUCUCAGAGAAGGCUCUUUCAUUUGCAAGGGAGAAAAGUA